rnacentral:tRNA from 1 species
UCGGGAUAGCUCAGCUGGUAAAGCAAAGGACUGAA